rnacentral:sRNA from 1 species
AAGAAGAGAGAGUGUA